rnacentral:rRNA from 1 species
UCCGUAGGUGAACCUGCGGAGGGAUCAUUACACAAAUAUGAAGGCGGGCUGGAACCUCUCGGGGUUACAGCCUUGCUGAAUUAUUCACCCUUGUCUUUUGCGUACUUCUUGUUUCCUUGGUGGGUUCGCCCACCACUAGGACAAACAUAAACCUUUUGUAAUUGCAAUCAGCGUCAGUAACAAAUUAAUAAUUACAACUUUCAACAACGGAUCUCUUGGUUCUGGCAUCGAUGAAGAACGCAGCGAAAUGCGAUAAGUAGUGUGAAUUGCAGAAUUCAGUGAAUCAUCGAAUCUUUGAACGCACAUUGCGCCCUUUGGUAUUCCAAAGGGCAUGCCUGUUCGAGCGUCAUUUGUACCCUCAAGCUUUGCUUGGUGUUGGGCGUCUUGUCUCUAGCUUUGCUGGAGACUCGCCUUAAAGUAAUUGGCAGCCGGCCUACUGGUUUCGGAGCGCAGCACAAGUCGCACUCUCUAUCAGCAAAGGUCUAGCAUCCAUUAAGCCUUUUUUUCAACUUUUGACCUCGGAUCAGGUAGGGAUACCCGCUGAACUUAAGCAUAUCAAUAAGCGGAGGAAAGGG